AUGUGCAAGUAUAAACGCUUGAAUCGUGAGACUGCGAAUGGCUCAUUAAAUCAGUUAUAGUUUAUUUGAUGGUGUCCUCCACGUGGAUAACCGUGGUAAUUCUAGAGCUAAUACAUGCAGAAGGUCCCGACUGUCACAGGAAGGGACGUAUUUAUUAGAUCCAAAACCAAUGCGGGUGUCGUUGCCUCGGCAGCGCCCCGGUCCUCUGGUGAUUCAUAGUAACUGCUCGAAUCGCUUGGCCCCCGCGCCGGCGAUGGUUCAUUCAAGUUUCUGCCCUAUCAACUUUCGAUGGUAGGGUAUUGGCCUACCAUGGUUGCAACGGGUGACGGAGAAUUAGGGUUCGAUUCCGGAGAGGGAGCCUGAGAAACGGCUACCACAUCCAAGGAAGGCAGCAGGCGCGCAAAUUACCCAAUCCCGACUCGGGGAGGUAGUGACAAUAAAUAACAAUGCCGGUCCCUUUAGUGGUCCGGCAAUUGGAAUGAGUACAAUCCAAACCCCUUAACGAGGAACAAUUGGAGGGCAAGUCUGGUGCCAGCAGCCGCGGUAAUUCCAGCUCCAAUAGCGUAUAUUAAAGUUGUUGCAGUUAAAAAGCUCGUAGUUGGAUUUCGGGGCCCCGGACGCCUGUUGCGUUCCCCGCUCGACUUGUCGGGUGGGUGCGUGGCGGUCGUCGGUCUCUGAGUCGGAUCGGUCCGCCGAGAGGCGUGCACUGACCGACGGCCCCUGUUGUCUCUCGGGUUGCCCGCCUGCACUUCAUUGCUGCGGACGGGGAGUUCGGGACGUUUACUUUGAACAAAUUAGAGUGUUCCAAGCAGGCCGGUUGCUUUGAAUACAUUAGCAUGGAAUAAUGGAAUAGGGCUGCGUGACUCGCGUCUCUC
rnacentral:rRNA from 1 species